rnacentral:rRNA from 1 species
GACGAACGCUGGCGGCGUGCCUAAUACAUGCAAGUAGAACGCUGAAGGAGGAGCUUGCUUCUCUGGAUGAGUUGCGAACGGGUGAGUAACGCGUAGGUAACCUGCCUGGUAGCGGGGGAUAACUAUUGGAAACGAUAGCUAAUACCGCACAAUAGCAGUUGUUGCAUGACAACUGUUUGAAAGGUGCAAUUUCACCACUACCAGAUGGACCUGCGUUGUAUUAGCUAGUUGGUGGGGUAACGGCUCACCAAGGCGACGAUACAUAGCCGACCUGAGAGGGUGAUCGGCCACACUGGGACUGAGACACGGCCCAGGCUCCUACGGGAGGCAGCAGUAGGGAAUCUUCGGCAAUGGACGGAAGUCUGACCGAGCAACGCCGCGUGAGUGAAGAAGGUUUUCGGAUCGUAAAGCUCUGUUGUAAGAGAAGAACGAGUGUGAGAGUGGAAAGUUCACACUGUGACGGUAUCUUACCAGAAAGGGACGGCUAACUACGUG